AAUCAAACUUAACUCCUUCCUUCCUUUGUAACAGUUUUGUUGACGUCACAGAAUUAGGCAUCCAUCACCACAAUCAAUUUUAAAACAUUUGUUACUUCAAAAAGAAUCCCUGUACGCAUUAGCUGUCAUUCCCCAUGUUAUGAACUGAAUGUUCACCUCCGCUCACCACAGUUUAUAUAUUGAAGUCCUAUCCCUGGGUAGGAUGGUAUCUGGAGGUGGAGCCUUUGGGAGGUUAUUAGGAUCAGAUGAGAUCAUGAGGGUAGAACCCCGUGGUGGGAUUAGUGUCCUUAUAAGGAGACAAAGAGACUAGAACUUACAUGCUCUCUCUUUCUGCUUGCGGGCAUUCAGCAAAGACAGAGGACAAGAUGAUUCUUGCUGAGAACCAGAUCAUGCUAGCGUCCUGAUUUUGAACUUCAGCCUCUAGAACUGAAAAAUAAGUAUCUGCCUUUUUUUAAAGCCACUUGAUCUGUUCUAUUUUUAUUGUUGCAAACCAAACUGACUGACAUCCCAUUCCCCCCCCACCCCACACCCCCAGGACCUGACAUCCAUUCAUCUGCUUUCUGACUCUAUGAAUUUGCCUGUUUUGGACAUUUCAUAUCAGUGGAAACAAACAUAAAAUAUGUGAACUUUAUGACUGGCGUCAUUCACUUAGCAUGCCAUUUUUCAAGUGCCAUCUGUGUUGUACCCUGUACCAAUACUUCAUUCUUCUUUAUUGAUGAAUAAUAUUCCAUUUAUGGUUACAUCAUGUUGUAUAUCCCUUUAUCAGUUGAUAGACACUUGGAUUAUUUCCACCUUUUGGCUGUUGUGAAUAAUGCAGCUAUGAAUAGUUCUGUGCAAGUAUCUGAACAUCUUUUUCCAAUUCCAUUGGGUAUAUACCUAGGAGUGGAAAUGCUGGGUCAUAGGGUAAUUCUGUUUUUAAUAUUUUGAGGAACUGUCAGACUCUUUUCCACAGUGACUACGCAUUUUAUAUUUCCACCUUCAGUGCCCCUCUUGUUUCUUUGAUUUAUCGUUACCUCUACCAGCCAGCUCACUUGUAAACAGGGGCCUCUUGGUCUAUUUUUGAUAUAUGUUUACUUUUAAAAAAGUAAAGUGAAAUCUAGUUUUCUUUGAAAAAAUUCAAGACGCAUGUUGAACUAAUUGUGCUUUAUCAAAAACAAAAAAGAUUUGGCGGGGAGUUCUCUUGAGGUGCAUCGGGUUAAGGAUCUGGUGUUGUCACUGCAGUGACUUUGGUCGCUCCUGUGGUGUGGGUUCUAUCCCUGACCCAGGAACUUCCAUAUGCUGUGGGCAUAGCGAAAAAAAAAAAAAAAAA
rnacentral:lncRNA from 1 species